CCUACGGGUGGCUGCAGUGAGGAAUAUUGGUCAAUGGGCGAAAGCCUGAACCAGCCAAGUAGCGUGAGGGAUGACGGUCCUAUGGAUUGUAAACCUCUUUUGUCGGGGAGCAAGGCCUGCCACGUGUGGCGGGAAGGAGAGUACCCGAAGAAAAAGCAUCGGCUAACUCCGUGCCAGCAGCCGCGGUAAUACGGGGGAUGCGAGCGUUAUCCGGAUUUAUUGGGUUAAAAGGGUGCGUAGGCGGACGGUUAAGUCAGCGGUCAAAUGUCGGUCCUAAACACCAGACUGCCGUUGAAACUGGUCUUCUUGAGUGAACUAGAAGUAUGCGGAAGUCGUGGUGUAGCGGUGAAAUGCAUAGAUAUCACGCAGAACUCCGAUUGCGAAGGCAGCACACCGGCGCUCAACUGACGCUGAGGCACGAAAGCGUGGGGAUCGAACAGGAUUAGAUACCCCAGUAGUC
rnacentral:rRNA from 1 species